GUGUGUGUGUGUGUGUGUGUGCGCGUGUGUGUGUGUGGUGUGUGUGUGUGUGUGUGUAUGUGUAGAGAUCUAAGCACAGCUUGUAAGAGUCACUUCUCACUUUCCAAUGUUUGAGUCCUCAAGAUUGAACUUGGCAGCAAGAGCCUUUACCUGCUGAGCCAUCUUGCUGGCCCAAGUCCGGUCUUCUGGGCCAGCUGGCUGCUACGGGGGCCGGUUAAGAUGUCUGUCCGGCAGGCACGCAUGCUGGUGGAUGAAAUUCUUUGUGACCACCAACGGCUUGGGAAAUCCCUUCGAUCACGAUGCUGUGGUGGAACAUACCUUGAAUCCCCGAGUAUGGGAGGCUGACGGAAGACAGUCCAGAUUUAAUGACGAAGCGGGGAAAAUGUACCUUUAUAGUUGGGGACAAGGAAAAGAAUAAGAAGAUAGCACAGAGAGAUCAUUUGUGCUCUGGAAGCCAAAGACGGUUUGGAAAUUCCAGAGAUUUCCAAGAAAAACCGAUGCCUGUCCUUGGCAACGGAGCUGGGUCCCUGCUGCCCCCGCCCCGCCCCUCUGCCGCCUUCCCUAAGUGUUCCGUCCAAUUUUCUCUUGAAUACAUGAGAAGAAGCCGCAAUGACGUCCCCAGGGACCUUACUUAUAGGAAACCUCGCCGCGGGAGGAUUUAUGAAGCGUCUGUAAAAUAUGUGUGUAGGAACUCGGGACGUUUUGAUCGCUACCAAGGAGAAAAAAUGGACAGUUUCGUACGAGUUGGAUUCGUGAGCAAUUUUUUAUGUUUUUUUUUUUAAAUUAAUUAAUCUCUUCCUCCUUUGUUAGAAAUUCUUGGCACAGACAUAAGCCCCCCGGAGAAGGGAGACAUUGCCCACGGGCUGUAUGUCUAAACUGUCAGGAUUUCAACCCCCAAAUCUCCGGAGGCGAAGCCGGGUUUCACAGGCCUCCGAUCCGGUGGGGAGCAGCUUGUCAGCGCUGGGGAGAUGGGGUGGAUUAUUAGCGGUGGUACCUCCCCUGCCUCUGACAGCCUUUGUGCUACUGGUCAUUUCCAGACUGGGAAAGCGCCAGAUGUGUGUGUGCCUCACAGCUCCAGAGCCGGCCACCUCUGGCACCCAGGACAAGCACCAGCGCAGGAGCAGUUUACUUAGUAUCUUUUAUUUUUUAUUCUUGGGGUCAGAUUCUGCCGCCAUAGCAAGGGGCUUCCUGGAUGUAGGAGGGAAUGGUC
rnacentral:sRNA from 1 species